rnacentral:rRNA from 1 species
AUCACUACGCUAGAUGCAUAUCAAUAAGCGGAGGAAAAGAAACUAACAAGGAUUCCCCUAGUAACGGCGAGUGAAGCGGGAAGAGCUCAAAUUUGAAAUCUUAAAGGGUUUCCCUUUACGUAUUGUAGUUUAAAGAAGUGUUUUCUGUUGGAGUUUCGGUAAAAGUUCUUUGGAAUAGGACAUCAUAGAGGGUGAGAAUCCCGUAUUUGACCGUUACUUUCCAGCUGUGUGAUACACUUUCAAAGAGUCGGAUUGUUUGGGAAUGCAGUCCAAAAUGGGUGGUAAAUUUCAUCUAAAGCUAAAUAUUGGCGAGAGACCGAUAGCGAACAAGUACCGUGAGGGAAAGAUGAAAAGAACUUUGAAAAGAGAGUUAAACAGUACGUGAAAUUGUCAAAAGGGAAGCGUUUGACACCAGUGUUGUUUAGUUGAAAAUCAAUUCAAUAAUUUUUGAUUUUAAGUAGUAUUGACUUCAUCAGCUUGCUGCUUUCUUUUCGAAAAUUAUUGAAUGCACUUUUCAGUUAACAAGUCAACAUCAAUUUCUUUUGUUGUAAAAGGGUAAGAGGAAGGUGGCUUACGCUUCGGCGUAAGUGUUUAUAGCCUUUUACCUCUGCAAUCGGAGAGAUUGAGGAUCAGCAGCGUAGACUCCUUCGGGGGUUAGAUACACUUGUGCUAAGCUAUAGCCUUGUAUAGACAACUUGUUGACUAUGCUCAGUCAUGUAGCUUACUCGCUUGUGCUAUUUUACCUACGCUUAGGAUGUUGACGAGACUGUCGAUCUC